AUUGAACGCUGGCGGCAGGCCUAACACAUGCAAGUCGAACGAGUGGCGGACGGGUGAGUAAUGUCUGGGAAACUGCCUGAUGGAGGGGGAUAACUACUGGAAACGGUCACUAAUACCGCAUACCAUCGGAUGUGCCCAGAUGGGAUUAGCUAGUUGGUGGGGUAACGGCUCACCAAGGCGACGAUCCCUAGCUGGUCUGAGAGGAUGACCAGCCACACGUGGACUGGGACACGGCCCAGACUCCUACGGGAGGCAGCAGUGGGGAAGAUUGCACAAUGGGGGCAAGCCUGAUGCAGCCAUGCCGCGUGUAUGAAGAAGGCCUUCGGGUUGUAAAGUACUUUCAGCGGGGAGGCGUUACCCGCAGAAGAAGCACCGGCUAACUCCGUGCCAGCAGCCGCGGUAAUAC
rnacentral:rRNA from 1 species